AAAUCCUGGAAACAGAGAAAUGGGGAAGUGAAGAAUUGGAGUAAACGUUUCUCAUUGGUCAAUUGAAGUGUAGCGCGCGACAGUCGAAUAAGCUCUGUGAAAGCGGCUGUCCCUUAAUGCUUGGUACCUUUGCUUUAAAUUCGACAUUUGAUUCAACAUGGCGGUUGACGUGGCAGGUUCGCGUGUGUAAUGCAUGGUGUGUUGGUGUUAUUAUCAAAGUAUAAUUCUGUCACGUUCAGUGUACCAUUUAUAAUUUGGGGUUGUCCAAUUUGCAGUACAGCGAAUAGUUUGAUUUUGGAUCUUCAAACAGGAGAGUUGCAUAUAUUCAGUCUUCAAGAAAAGUUCGAGGAGAGUUGGUGUGUGGGAUUUGUUGGUUUGACUAAGUACAUGUUUGAACUAGAGUGAUUUCAGUUGUGUAUCUUCAAUAGAGAAAAGUAUUACUAUUGAAACACUGGCUGAUGCAUUGUUGGACAAAUAUAAGGAAAACUAGUCUGGUGAGCAAAGUUUGGAUAACUUCAAAUAAGUGAAAUUCAUUGAAGAACCCAUCAUACCACUCAUUUUAAAUACUUCAUUUGUGGGUUUAUUUUUUUAAGUGAGAAACCUAACCUAACCUAUUUCUUGAUGUAAUCCAUUUUUUUUUCAAUGAAAUGAUAUAUUUAUUAUUUUUUAAUUAGUGCUGAUGAAUUCACAGAGUUGUUAUUUUAGUAUAUUUUUUAGUAUACAUUUGUUUGAGAGUUGGAACAUCCUAA